AGGACGAACGCUGGCGGCGUGCUUAACACAUGCAAGUCGAGCGGAAAGGCCUUUCGGGGUACUCGAGCGGCGAACGGGUGAGUAACACGUGAGUAACCUGCCCUUCACUUUGGGAUAACCCUCGGAAACGGGGGCUAAUACCGGAUAUGACCUUCCAGGGCAUCUUGGUGGGUGGAAAGUUUUUCGGUGGGGGAUGGGCUCGCGGCCUAUCAGCUUGUUGGUGGGGUAAUGGCCUACCAAGGCGACGACGGGUAGCCGGCCUGAGAGGGCGACCGGCCACACUGGGACUGAGACACGGCCCAGACUCCUACGGGAGGCAGCAGUGGGGAAUAUUGCACAAUGGGCGAAGCCUGAUGCAGCGACGCCGCGUGAGGGAUGACGGCCUUCGGGUUGUAAACCUCUUUCAGCAGGGACGAAGCGAAAGUGACGGUACCUGCAGAGAGCGCGCACUACGUGCAGCAGCCGC
rnacentral:rRNA from 1 species